rnacentral:lncRNA from 1 species
AGCUCUGCCUGCGCAGUGAGGCUGCCGGCGACAGAGUGAAAAUGACAAGCAGGCCCGGAGUGCACAGGCAGGCAGGUGUGAGCGUGGAGAUGCCACACGUGUGAAUGAAAACAGCACGUGGGAAGACACGUGUGAGCGACACAGGCACCUUAACAUGGAAGAGGCAGCAGAGAGCAGCACAGAACCCUCGCGCCUAGCAGCGGAGACCCUGUCCUGACCCUAGCAUCACCACUGACUCACGGGCCACCUGCAAGGCCCUCCCCUUCUGUUUCACAAUCUGUAAAGGAGUCUGUCUUAGAUUGACGUUUCCCAGCCUGGUUUGUCUCUCUGGAUCCAUGGUCAAAUAUCCAUUCUAUGCCUGGAUGGUCACAGGGAUAGAAUGGACCCCCACAGAGAACAAAC